CUACUGGCUAAUUAAGGCCUACUAACUGUAUUACUACUGGCUAAUUAAGGCCUACUAACUGUAUUAAUACUGGCUAAUUAAGGCCUACUAACUGUAUUACUACUGGCUAAUUAAGGCCUACUAACUGUAUUACUACUGGCUAAUUAAGGCCUACUAACUGUAUGACUACUGGCUAAUUAAGGCCUACUAACUGUAUUAAUACUGGCUAAUUAAGGACUAUUAACUGUAUUACUACUGGCUAAUUAAGGCCUACUAACUGUAUCCCACUGGCUCAGUAAGGCGAACUAACUGUAUGACUACUGGUUAAGUAAGGCCUACUAACUGUAUUAAUACUGGCUAAUGAAGGCCUACUAACUGUAUUAAUACUGGCUAAUGAAGGCCUACUAGCUGUAUUACUACUGGCUAAUUAAGGCCUACUAACUGUAUUAAUACUGGCUAAUUAAGGCCUACUAACUGUAUGACUACUGGCUAAUUAAGGCCUACUAACUGUAUGACUGCUGGCUAAGUAAGGACUAUUAACUGUAUUACUACUGGCUAAUUAAGGCCUACUAACUGUAUUAAUACUUGCUAAUUAAGGCCUACUAACUGUAUUACUACUGGCUAAUUAAGGCCUACUAACUGUAUUAAUACUUGCUAAUUAAGGCCUACUAACUGUAUUACUACUGGCUAAUUAAGGCCUACUAACCGUAUUACUACUGGCUAAUUAAG
rnacentral:lncRNA from 1 species